rnacentral:rRNA from 1 species
UACGGAGGGUGCAAGCGUUAUCCGGAUUCACUGGGUUUAAAGGGUACGUAGGUGGGCAGGUAAGUCAGUGGUGAAAUCUCCGGGCUUAACCCGGAAACUGCCGUUGAUACUAUCUGUCUUGAAUAUAGUGGAGGUGAGCGGAAUAUGUCAUGUAGCGGUGAAAUGCUUAGAUAUGACAUAGAACACCCAUUGCGAAGGCAGCUCGCUACACUAUCAUUGACACUGAGGCACGAAAGCGUGGGGAUCAAACAGG